AAUUUAUCCCUCAUAAGUUUGCCGCCAAGAGGAMCCUAUAUGCUACAAAUUACGUUUGCUAAUUUGUAAAACAAGUAGGUGUCACAAAAUCGGAAGCCCCGACUGUUUACUAAAAACAUAAAUCGCUGCAAUCAUGUAAAUGAUAGUAUAGCGAUUGAAAUUUGCCCGAUGCCAUUAACUAAAGAGAGGUGAUAGGAAACUGUUACUGAUUAAACGUCUGGUUAAUAGCGGUCUUAACUAUGAGGAUCCUAAGGUAGCAAAAUAAAUUGGCCAUUAAAUGUGGUCCGGUAUCAAUAAUGUAACGAUGGCUUCACUGUCUCUGACACACUUGCUCAG
rnacentral:rRNA from 1 species